GGGAGUGUAGCUUAACAGCAGAGCGCCGAUCUCAUACGUCGGUCGAUGUCAGUGCAACUCUGAUCGCUCCUA
rnacentral:tRNA from 1 species